rnacentral:rRNA from 1 species
AUUGAACGCUGGCGGCAGGCCUAACACAUGCAAGUCGAACGAGUGGCGGACGGGUGAGUAAUGUCUGGGAAACUGCCUGAUGGAGGGGGAUAACUACUGGAAACGGUAGCUAAUCCCGCAUACCAUCGGAUGUUCCCAGAUGGGAUUAGCUAGUAGGUGGGGUAAAGGCUCACCUCGGCGACGAUCCCUAGCUGGUCUGAGAGGAUGACAAGCGACACUGGAACUGAGACACGGUCCAGACUCCUACGGGAGGCAGCAGUGGGGAAUAUUGCAGAAUGGGCGCAAGCCUGAUGCAGCCAAGCCGCGUGUAUGAAGAAGGCCUUCGGGUUGUAAAGGACUUUCAGCGGGGAGGCGUUACCCGCAGAAGAAGCACCGGCUAACUCCGUGCCAGCAGCCGCGGUAAUAC